rnacentral:rRNA from 1 species
AGUGAACGCUGGCGGUAGGCCUAACACAUGCAAGUCGAACGGCAGCACAGGAGAGCUUGCUCUCUAGGUGGCGAGUGGCGGACGGGUGAGGAAUACAUCGGAAUCUGCCCAGUCGUGGGGGAUAACGUAGGGAAACUUACGCUAAUACCGCAUACGACCUUCGGGUGAAAGAGGGGGAUCGCAAGACCUCUCGCGAUUGGAUGAGCCGAUGUCGGAUUAGCUAGUUAGCGGGGUAAUGGCCCACCAAGGCGACGAUCCGUAGCUGGUCUGAGAGGAUGAUCAGCCACACUGGAACUGAGACACGGUCCAGACUCCUACGGGAGGCAGCAGUGGGGAAUAUUGGACAAUGGGCGCAAGCCUGAUCCAGCCAUACCGCGUGGGUGAAGAAGGCCUUCGGGUUGUAAAGCCCUUUUGUUGGGAAAGAAAUCUUUCAGGCUAAUACCCUGGGAGGAUGACGGUACCCAAAGAAUAAGCACCGGCUAACUUCGG